UUUAACAUAAAAAUAUAUAUUUAAUUUCUUACCAUUAUUUUAGAUUAGAAAAUCAUACAUAUACAAGAUAUAUGAAAUUAGAAAAUUAAAUUAAAAAAUUAUAACUUGCUCAUGCAAUAAAUAAAUGAUAUUUUAGAGAAUAUAUUAUAUCAUAAGAUAUUACAUGUUUAUAUUGAGCAUUUUUGUAUUCUUUUAGAUAUGCUAUUAGUCGUAGUAUAUCAUCUGACAAAAGUGAUCGAUGCACUUAAUGAGUAUAACUUUCUGAGGUCCUUUCAGACAAUCGGCAUCAACUUGGCAUUUUAUUGGAAGCUUAGAAAUUUUUCCUGAAAUGAAAAGAGAUUAUAAAAUAAUAUUAGAAAACAUGAUAAAAAGUUGGGUACAAACUUCAAAGAAUAGAAGAAAUUUAAAAAGAAUAAGAAUACCAACAACAUGCGAUGUUGCAUGUAAUAAUGAAAUAUAAAAAAUCCAAAUAUAAAAUAACUUGAGAAUUUCAGUCAUAUUUUUUUUUCACUUUACAUGUAAAAAAUAGAACAUGAUUUAAGCUCUUUAUAGCAUGUAAAAUUCAUAUUAUUGGAUAUUUAAUUUAAUUGUAGUUUUAACCUUUUGGAAGAUAUAAAAAUCUUUUAUAAAAUUAUAAUCAUUAUUAAAUGUCACUUAAUUAUAUAAAUGUGUUGUGUUUGUCCCUUUAAUCUACUUGAUAAAGAGGUCACGUAAUGAUAGGUUGAAUAUUAAAUAUGUUGUGUGU
rnacentral:lncRNA from 1 species